rfam:Hirsutella minnesotensis 3608 unplaced genomic scaffold MNSD_Scf_31, whole genome shotgun sequence.
ACAUACGGCCAUAUCUACUUGAGUACGCUGGAUCCCGUCCGCUCUCCACACGCUAAGCAAGUAAGAGGCAGAUUAGUAGUUGGGUCGGUGACGACCAGCGAACACCGGCUGCUGUAUGUU